CUGGUUGAUCCUGCCAGUAGUCAUAMGCUUGUCUCAAAGAUUAAGCCAUGCAUGUCUAAGUAUAAGCAAUUUAUACAGUGAAACUGCGAAUGGCUCAUUAAAUCAGUUACCGUUUAUUUGAUAGUACCUUACUACUUGGAUAACCGUGGUAAUUCUAGAGCUAAUACAUGCUUAAAAUCCCGACUGUUUGGAAGGGAUGUAUUUAUUAGAUAAAAAAUCAAUGUCUUCGGACUCUUUGAUGAUUCAUAAUAACUUUUCGAAUCGCAUGGCCUUGUGCUGGCGAUGGUUCAUUCAAAUUUCUGCCCUAUCAACUUUCGAUGGUAGGAUAGUGGCCUACCAUGGUUUCAACGGGUAACGGGGAAUAAGGGUUCGAUUCCGGAGAGGGAGCCUGAGAAACGGCUACCACAUCCAAGGAAGGCAGCAGGCGCGCAAAUUGCCCAAUCCCGACACGGGGAGGUAGUGACAAUAAAUAACGAUACAGGGCCUUUCGGGUCUUGUAAUUGGAAUGAGUACAAUGUAAAUACCUUAACGAGGAACAAUUGGAGGGCAAGUCUGGU
rnacentral:rRNA from 1 species